rnacentral:rRNA from 1 species
GACGAACCGAGCGAACGUUAUUCGGAAUCACUGGGCUUAAAGGGCGCGUAGGCGGUCAGCACAAGUCAGUUGUGAAAUCUCCGGGCUUAACUCGGAAAGGUCAACUGAUACUGUGCGACUAGAGUGCAGAAGGGGCAACUGGAAUUCUCGGUGUAGCGGUGAAAUGCGUAGAUAUCGAGAGGAACACCUGCGGCGAAGGCGGGUUGCUGGGCUGACACUGACGCUGAUGCGCGAAAGCCAGGGGAGCGAACGGG